rnacentral:tRNA from 1 species
GCCUGGCUGGCUCAGUUGGUAGAGCAUGCAGCUCUUGAUCUUAGGGUCAUGAGUUUAAGCCCUAUGUUAGGCA